UACGUAGGUGGCAAGCGUUGUCCGGAUUUAUUGGGUUUAAAGGGUGCGUAGGCGGUCUUUUAAGUCAGUGCUGAAAUACUCCAGCUUAACUGGAGGGGUGGCAUUGAUACUGGAAGACUUGAGUGUAGUUGAAGUAGGCGGAAUUGACGGUGUAGCGGUGAAAUGCUUAGAUAUGACAUAGAACACCAAUUGCGAAGGCAGCUGGCUACACGAAUAUUGACACUGAUGCACGAAAGCGUGGGGAUCAAACAGG
rnacentral:rRNA from 1 species